rfam:TPA: Bos taurus chromosome 29, whole genome shotgun sequence.
UCCCUGGUGGUCCAGUGGCUAAGACUACACACUCCCAAUGCAGAGGCCCCAGGUUCGACCCCUGGUCAGGGAA